UUUAAUUGAAGAGUUUGAUCAUGGCUCAGAUUGAACGCUGGCGGCAGGCUUAACACAUGCAAGUCGAGCGGUAGCACAGGGGAGCUUGCUCCCUGGGUGACGAGCGGCGGACGGGUGAGUAAUGUCUGGGAAACUGCCUGAUGGAGGGGGAUAACUACUGGAAACGGUAGCUAAUACCGCAUAACGUCGCAAGACCAAAGAGGGGGACCUUCGGGCCUCUUGCCAUCAGAUGUGCCCAGAUGGGAUUAGCUAGUAGGUGGGGUAAUGGCUCACCUAGGCGACGAUCCCUAGCUGGUCUGAGAGGAUGACCAGCCACACUGGAACUGAGACACGGUCCAGACUCCUACGGGAGGCAGCAGUGGGGAAUAUUGCACAAUGGGCGCAAGCCUGAUGCAGCCAUGCCGCGUGUGUGAAGAAGGCCUUCGGGUUGUAAAGCACUUUCAGCGAGGAGGAAGGUGGUGA
rnacentral:rRNA from 1 species